GGGUGCAACAAUACUUUCAUCUGUGAAUAUCCACUUUCUAAGCCCACGAUGAACUAUGAAGGUCAAUCAAUAUAUGUAAGGACACCAAUGAACAGGCACUUUCCAAUUAUCGUACAUCAUAUACAUGGGUGGUUAAACUCACUGGAUGGUUUAUCAACACUCCCAUGCUCACGAACAGCCUUGCCCCAGGAAUUUUGCCCUGAAGUAACAUUGCAGUCUAUUGUCUCCUUUCUUUUUACAACCCUGGCAGCCAUGCAGGAUAGAAGCUGAUCACUUGUACUUGACAGCAAAUAAUAAUGUCUUGGACAAGUCAAAGAAUUCCCUCCAGUCUUACAGAGAAAUGACAGUUGAUAAAAGAAUGGUGGACACAAAGUAAAACUGCUCUUCAACAUUUUGUUGAAGAUUUCAGUCUGAUUUGGAAUUCAUCUUGCAGUAUUUCUGGAUUUGUAUAUUUGGAUAUAUGCAUCAAAUUUUCAACUUAUUGACUAAACAGUUUUGGGUUAAAUAUUGCCAAUGCUAUAUUAUUAUUAUUUCCCUCCAAGAUAACAUGUCAAGUCUAAAUUGUAUCCCUUAAGCUCUG